AAAAUGAGUGAAAAUUUAGGUUCUGGGUGUAUUUUUGAAAGAAAAAUUGAAAACCGAUGGUCAAAACGUAAUUUAAAAAAAUUGUGCCACGUCAGCUGCCCGGUCAGUAGCCCCGGCCAACCAGGACGCAUCAGGCAGCAGAGAUGCUGACGCGGGAGGCCACACGGAAGGGAGCCACGUGGGCGAUCCACGUGCGCAUGAUCGAACUGCUGAGAUCCGUUCCCGCGCGCAUGGACGGCGCAGAUUGCAUCGCGCACGGACGAUCCAGAUUGAAUCGUGCACGGACGACCCAGAUUGAAUCGCGAUGAACGGUCCAGAUUCAUUCCUUAUUUAAUCACGAUCGAACGAUCUAGAUUAAAAGCGAUGCACGGUUGAGAUCAAAAGCGGAUUGGUAUAAAUAACCUCAUCUGCACCUAAACCCUAACCCUAGCCGCCAGAGCCCCUCGCCAGAGAAGAUAGCCCAGCCACCGGGGACCGAUCUCCGCCACUUGCCGCCGUACUGGAGCAAUUUCUGACUGCCAAACGAGGUAAAAAUUCUACCAUUUGCUCAGAAUUUGAUUCUAAACCCACCUAUGACCAAAUAAGAGCGAAAGCACCGGCCAAUUGGUCGAAAAAUACCGUCGAAGCAUAGCAGCACCACCGCGAGGUGUCUCAAUUUUUGCCUCCGAUAAGGUCCUUUCCGAUUCCCGUUCGAUAUGAUUUUUCCACCGUUGUGAUCACCGUUUCCUCAUCUACAGGUUGACCGGAGCAAAACACCCAACCGUGAC
rnacentral:lncRNA from 1 species